GCGAAUAAAGGAUGGUUCUUCUGUCUUGCCCAGCACAGUGCCCAGACUGCUGCAGUGAGUGGGGACAGGGGACACCAGGCUGCCUCUGCAGAUGCUCCACAGACUGCUGCAGUGAGGCACAGAGGAACUGAACUGGAGCACCAGCAGGACAGGAGGAACCGCCCAGCACUGACCCAACACUGGCCCAAUCUGUACUUCUGCAAGAAAUUGAGUCUUCAAAUACACAGUUGUUUGGAUUCGGGAGCUGAAUGGUCCAUUAGAAUGCAGACCUCAGCAGAGGAAGCACUGUAUCUGGCUUGAGGCAGCGCUAGCAGGUCCUU